rnacentral:rRNA from 1 species
UUCGUAGGUGGCCUGCUAAGUCACACGUGAAAUCCCCUCAGCUUAACUGGGGAACUGCGUGUGAGACUGGCGGGCUUGAGUGCAGGAGAGGAACGCGGAAUUCCAGGUGUAGCGGUGAAAUGCGUAGAUAUCUGGAGGAGCACCGGUGGCGAAGGCGGCGUUCUGGACUGCUACUGACACUGAGGAACGAAGCAGGGAGCAAACG